GCCGGCGUGGCGGAAUUGGUAGACGCGCUCGACUCAAAAUCGAGUUCCAUUGGAGUGCCGGUUCGACUCCGGCCGCCGGUA
rnacentral:tRNA from 1 species